rnacentral:misc_RNA from 1 species
AAAAGAUGAAAUAAAGAUCAUCCAAACAAAAAGUUCAUAACCCCUUACCAUAAAUUGCCCAAAUAGCCUUUUGCCUCUCAGGAGUCAUCAACAUAGUUCCCAGAUAAAAUGUCUUGGCAUACUCUGCACAAACUUCACCACAACGAUCAUAAGCUUCAUUCAACAAGCUCAAAGUCCCCGGAAGAACAAUAUCCGGCUUCACAUCCAAUUCUCCGGCGGUUCUCAGUUGCCGUUUUACCAAAGCCGCCUGUUUCAUAACUACGUUAUACACCUUCUGCUCAGCUGAGACGGCCAUUUCUCCGGCGGGAUUCGCCACCAUACUUGCUGCAAUAACAGAGCCAUAUCCACCUUCACAGAGAAUUGGGUAUUUCAGUUCUGUAGAGUGAGAGUGAUUCCCCCAUUUCUGUUUCUUGCUCAUCAGAUUCGCCG